rnacentral:rRNA from 1 species
ACGAUUGACGGAGCGGAGCGACGUCAAAGCGUUUUACAACGUUGAGUUGGCUUAGGGAUACGUUCGUUGGGUAGGGGAGCGUUCUGUAAGCCUGCGAAGGUGUGCUGUGAGGCAUGCUGGAGGUAUCAGAAGUGCGAAUGCUGACAUAAGUAACGAUAAAGCGGGUGAAAAGCCCGCUCGCCGGAAGACCAAGGGUUCCUGUCCAACGUUAAUCGGGGCAGGGUGAGUCGACCCCUAAGGCGAGGCCGAAAGGCGUAGUCGAUGGGAAACGGGUUAAUAUUCCCGUACUUGGUGUUACUGCGAAGGGGGGACGGAGAAGGCUAUGUUGGCCGGGCGACGGUUGUCCCGGUUUAAGCGUGUAGGCUGGUUUUCCAGGCAAAUCCGGAAAAUCAAGGCUGAGGCGUGACGACGAGGCACUACGGUGCUGAAGCAACAAAUGCCCUGCUUCCAGGAAAAGCCUCUAAGCAUCAGGUAACACGAAAUCGUACCCCAAACCGACACAGGUGGUCAGGUAGAGAAUACCAAGGCGCUUGAGAGAACCCGGGUGAAGGAACUAGGCAAAAUGGUGCCGUAACUUCGGGAGAAGGCACGCUGACACGUAGGUGAAGUGAUUUACUCAUGGAGCUGAAGUCAGUCGAAGAUACCAGCUGGCUGCAACUGUUUAUUAAAAACACAGCACUGUGCAAACACGAAAGUGGACGUAUACGGUGUGACGCCUGCCCGGUGCCGGAAGGUUAAUUGAUGGGGUCAGCGCAAGCGAAGCUCCUGAUCGAAGCCCCGGUAAACGGCGGCCGUAACUAUAACGGUCCUAAGGUAGCGAAAUUCCUUGUCGGGUAAGUUCCGACCUGCACGAAUGGCGUAAUGAUGGCCAGGCUGUCUCCACCCGGGACUCAGUGAAAUUGAACUCGCUGUGAAGAUGCAGUGUACCCGCGGCAAGACGGAAAGACCCCGUGAACCUUUACUAUAGCUUGACACUGAACACUGGUCCUUGAUGUGCAGGAUAGGUGGGAGGCUUUGAAGUGUGGACGCCAGUCUGCAUGGAGCCGUCCUUGAAAUACCACCCUUUAAUGGCUGGUGUUCUAACGUAGACCCGUGAACCGGGUUGCGGACAGUGUCUGGUGGGUAGUUUGACUGGGGCGGUCUCCUCCUAAAGCGUAACGGAGGAGCACGAAGGUUGGCUAAUCCUGGUCGGACAUCAGGAGGUUAGUGCAAUGGCAUAAGCCAGCUUGACUGCGAGCGUGACGGCGCGAGCAGGUGCGAAAGCAGGUCAUAGUGAUCCGGUGGUUCUGAAUGGAAGGGCCAUCGCUCAACGGAUAAAAGGUACUCCGGGGAUAACAGGCUGAUACCGCCCAAGAGUUCAUAUCGACGGCGGUGUUUGGCACCUCGAUGUCGGCUCAUCACAUCCUGGGGCUGAAGUAGGUCCCAAGGGUAUGGCUGUUCGCCAUUUAAAGUGGUACGCGAGCUGGGUUUAGAACGUCGUGAGACAGUUCGGUCCCUAUCUGCCGUGGGCGCUGGAGAACUGAGGGGGGCUGCUCCUAGUACGAGAGGACCGGAGUGGACGCAUCACUGGUGUUCGGGUUGUCAUGCCAAUGGCACUGCCCGGUAGCUAAAUGCGGAAGAGAUAAGUGCUGAAAGCAUCUAAGCACGAAACUUGCCCCGAG